UGGGGUGUGACUGCGUACCUUUUGUAUAAUGGGUCAGCGACUUAUAUUCUGUAGCAAGGUUAACCGAAUAGGGGAGCCGGAGGGAAACCGAGUCUUAAUUGGGCGUUAAGUUGCAGGGUAUAGACCCGAAACCCGGUGAUCUAGCCAUGGGCAGGUUGAAGGUUGGGUAACACUAACUGGAGGACCGAACCGACUAAUGUUGAAAAAUUAGCGGAUGACCUGUGGCUGGGGGUGAAAGGCCAAUCAAACCGGGAGAUAGCUGGUUCUCCCCGAAAGCUAUUUAGGUAGCGCCUCGUGAAUUCAUCUCCGGGGGUAGAGCACUGUUUCGGCUAGGGGGCCAUCCCGGCUUACCAACCCGAUGCAAACUGCGAAUACCGGAGAAUGUUAUCACGGGAGACACACGGCGGGUGCUAACGUCCGUCGUGAAGAGGGAAACAACCCAGACCGC
rnacentral:rRNA from 1 species